rnacentral:lncRNA from 1 species
CGGCGCGGCUCUCCAUCCCUCAGCUUCCCCCCUACGCCAGCCUCUUCCCUGCCUUCCUCCCCUUCUCAGUGAUUCCAGGACCCAGGCAGAAAGUCACACAAAACACUUUGUGUCUGUCAGCAGAUUCCUGGAAGGUCACGCUGAAUGAUGAAUGCUCCCGGUCCAAUAGAUUCAUCCGUUCCUGGUAGAAAAGGAAUCCCGAGUUGAAACAUUACAUCAAACUGCUAGUCUGCACCCCGCACCAUGAAAUAUCAGCUUUAUUGGUUCCAUUCUUCAAGACAUUGCGAAAUAAUGCAAAGCACAUUGUGUAACCAGGAUACGGCAGAUUUCAACGCACCCCAUCUCAAAUGACCUUCUUGGUUUCCUCAGUCAAGUUCAAGGGUCCAGUUUCCUUGAAUGUGUUCUUGGAUGACCUCAGCCUUGAUGCUCUCAUCUCCCUGUUUGGGCCCAGGUGUUCUCUUUUACAGCCUAAUAUUGCACAGCAUUUCAGUAGCGGAGUGCUGUCUCUGUGAUGGGCCAAACUCUUCGUCUACAAAUGAACACUCCUGUAGAGGAAGCAUCAACCGCCUUCUCUCCGACCACGUGCAAGAUGGCG